rnacentral:rRNA from 1 species
AUUGAACGCUGGCGGCAGGCCUAACACAUGCAAGUCGAACGAGUGGUGGACGGGUGAGUAAUGUCUGGGAACCUGCCUGAUGGCGGGGGUUAACUACUGGAAACGGUAGCUAAUACCGCAUACCAUCGGAUGUGCCCAGGUGGGAUUAGCUAGUAGGUGGGGUAACGGCUCACCUAGGCGACGAUCCCUAGCUGGUCUGAGAGGAUGACCAGCCACACUGGAACUGAGACCCGGUCCAGACUCUUACGGGAGGCAGCAGUGGGGAAUAUUGCACAAUGGGCGCAAGCCUGAUGCAGCCAGGCCGCGUGUAUGAAGAAGGCCUUCGGGUUGUAAAGUACUUUCAGCGGGGAGGCGUUACCCGCAGAAGAAGCACCGGCUAACUCCGUGCCAGCAGCCGCGGUAAUUC